UCCUACGGGAGGCAGCAGUGAGGAAUAUUGCGCAAUGGGGGAAACCCCGACGCAGCGACGCCGCGUGGAUGAUGAAGGCCUUCGGGUCGUAAAAUCCUGUCCAGUGGAAAGAAGUGCAUUAUGCUAAUAUCAUGUGUGUUGACGU
rnacentral:rRNA from 1 species